AGAGUUUGAUCCUGGCUCAGGACGAACGCUGGCGGCAUGCUUAACACAUGCAAGUCGAGGGGCACUUCGGUGCCACUGGCGCACGGGUGAGUAACACGUAGGUCAUCUGCCCCUAUCACAGACAUAACCCCGGGAAACCGGGGCUAAUAUCUGAUGAGGUCGCGAGAUCAAAGCUUCGGCGGAUAGGGAUGAGCCUGCGGCUGAUUAGCUAGUUGGUGAGGUAAUGGCUCACCAAGGCGACGAUCAGUAGCUGGUCUGAGAGGACGAACAGCCACACUGGAACUGAGACACGGUCCAGACUCCUACGGGAGGCAGCAGUGAGGAAUAUUGGUCAAUGGGCGCAAGCCUGAACCAGCAAUGCCGCGUGUGGGAUGACGGCGCUUUGCGUUGUAAACCACUGUCGGACGGGACGAAAAGAGGCAACAGCCUCCGAGACGGUACCGUCAAAGGAAGGGUCGGCUAACUACGUGCCAGCAGCCGCGGUAAUACGUAGGACCCAAGCGUCGUCCGGAUUCACUGGGUAUAAAGGGUGCGUAGGCGGUCUUGUGCGUCAGAGGUGAAAUAUCCGGGCUCAACCCGGAGGGUGCCUUUGAUACGGCAGGACUUGAGUGCGAGAGAGGAUGAUGGAAUUCCUGGUGUAGCGGUGAAAUGCGUAGAUAUCAGGAGGAACACCGGUGGCGAAGGCGGUCAUCUGGCUCGCAACUGACGCUGAGGCACGAAAGCGUGGGGAUCAAACAGGAUUAGAUACCCUGGUAGUCC
rnacentral:rRNA from 1 species